CCUACGGGUGGCUGCAGUGAGGAAUAUUGGUCAAUGGCCGGAAGGCUGAACCAGCCAAGCAGCGUGAAGGACGAAGGUGCCAAGCAUUGUAAACUUCUUUUGUCAAGGGACAAAAUCAGGCACGAGAGCCUGACCGAGGGUACUUGAAGAAAAAGCAUCGGCUAACUCCGUGCCAGCAGCCGCGGUAAUACGGAGGAUGCGAGCGUUAUCCGGAUUUAUUGGGUUUAAAGGGUGCGUAGGCGGACUGUUAAGUCAGGGGUAAAAGCACGGGGCUCAACCCCGGCGAGCCGUUGAAUAUGGGUGUCUUGAGAUGUCGAGAGGGAUGCGGAAUGCGGUGUGGAGCGGUGAAAUGCUU
rnacentral:rRNA from 1 species